rnacentral:rRNA from 1 species
CCUACGGGUGGCUGCAGUAGGGAAUAUUGCUCAAUGGGGGAAACCCUGAAGCAGCAACGCCGCGUGGAGGAUGAAGGUUCUCGGAUUGUUAACUCCUUUUGUUAUAGAAGAUAAUGACGGUAUCUAACGAAUAAGCACCGGCUAACUCCGGGCCAGCAGCCGCGGCAAUACGGAGGGUGCAAGCGUGACUCGGAUUCACUGGUCGUAAAGAGCGCGUAGGCGGGAUAGUAAGUCAGAUGUGAAAUCCUAGGGCUUAACCAUAGAACUGCAUUUGAAACUGUUAUUCUAGAGUAUUGGAGAGGGAGGUGGAAUUCUUGGUGGAGGGGUAAAAUCCGUAGAGAUCAAGAGGAAUACUCAUUGCGAAGGCGACCUGCUAGAACAUAACUGACGCUGAUGCGCGAAAGCGUGGGGAGCAAACAGGAUUAGAUACCCGAGUAGUC